rnacentral:rRNA from 1 species
GCAGGCUGAAACUCGCCUGCAUGAAGUCGGAAUUGCUAGUAAUCGCGGAUCAGCAUGCCGCGGUGAAUACGUUCCCGGGCCUUGUACACACCGCCCGUCACACCAUGGGAGUCGGUAACACCCGAAGCCUGUAGUCUAACCGUGGGGAGGACGCAGUCGAAGGUGGGAUUGAUGACUGGGGUGAAGUCGUAACAAGGUAAC